GGGCGGUUAGCUCAGCUGGGAGAGCACCUGCCUUACAAGCAGGGGGUCGCAGGUUCGAGCCCUGCACCGCCCA
rnacentral:tRNA from 1 species